rnacentral:tRNA from 1 species
GAGGGGUGGCAGAGUGGUCGAAUGCGGCGGUCUUGAAAACCGUUGAAGCGCAAGCUUCCGGGGGUUCGAAUCCCUCCCCCUCC